rnacentral:rRNA from 1 species
UACGUAGGGGGCUAGCGUUGUCCGGAUUUAUUGGGCGUAAAGAGCGUGUAGGCGGCCAGGUAGGUCUGCUGUGAAAACUCGAGGCUUAACCUCGAGAUGUCAUCGGAAACCAUUUGGCUAGAGUCCGGAAGAGGAGAGUGGAAUUCCUGGUGUAGCGGUGAAAUGCGCAGAUAUCAGGAAGAACACCAAUGGCGAAAGCAGCUCUCUGGGACGGUACUGACGCUGAGACGCGAAAGCGUGGGGAGCGAACAGG